UACGAAGGGGGCUAGCGUUGUUCGGAAUUACUGGGCGUAAAGCGCGCGCAGGCGGUCUUCCAAGUCAGUGGUGAAAGCCUGGAGCUCAACUUCAGAACUGCCAUUGAAACUGUGAGACUUGAGUACGAGAGAGGUGAGUGGAAUUCCCAGUGUAGAGGUGAAAUUCGUAGAUAUUGGGAAGAACACCGGUGGCGAAGGCGGCUCACUGGCCCGUUUCUGACGCUCAUGCACGACAGCGUGGGGAUCAAACAGG
rnacentral:rRNA from 1 species